ensembl:lncRNA
CGUGUUUGGCUUGAGGUUUCUAAACCUAAAAAGAUCCCUGACUGGAGCUGUCCCCCGCCUCCUGACAGGCAGCUGCAGGUGGGCUGCUCGGACACAAACUGCAGCUUAGGUACACGGUCCUUGGAGUCUCCCUGUAGCCUUUUGGAAAGGGAAGGAGCACUUACUAAAUUCACUGCGAAGUGACAGAGAGCCUUUCCUUGGCCAGGUUGGACAGGUGCUUCUGCCCUCUUUUCAACUAGUUCUCAACCUUGGCCUCUAAAGACUUAGGCACUAAGAUGGUUUUGAACAUCACGUCGGCGUCGCUAGGAUGACUCCAGCUCCACUUAGAAUGCCUGCCUGACAAAGCUCAAGGUGCCGGGAGAAUCUAGCCACCGCCAGAAGAGAGUCUCUGCUCCUCAGUGUCUCUAGGAGAAGAGGAGCAUAACUUCCAGAAACUCUGCUUAGUGUCCCCAGGGAGUUCCCAGGCCAGCGAUGGAACCCACGUCACAGCAGGGACAGUGCUGUGUCCUUAGUCUACUGAGCCCCAGAGGGACUCCUGUAGAGAAGUGUUUUCAUAGUCAGUGGACUGACUACCCAGAUGUGGAGUGGGGAACACAGACCUGGUUCCUGUCUUCAAGCAACUCAGGAUCUAAUCUGCAGACAAGACAUGGAUCCAUCCAAAAGCAACGCACGACGAUGUUGUGGAGGCCGGUGGGAGUGAGAAGACCGAGGAGGAGGCCCAGGCUGUGACCAAGGAGGAGGAGGCGGGCCCGGCCCCUGAGAAGGGGGCAGAGGAGGCCGCAGCCGUUGGCGAGGCAGAGGAGGAGGCGGGCCCAGGCAGUGACAAUGACAAGACGUCCCCAGCCAGGGCUGGGGCUGAGCAGGAAGAUGAAUCUGCCCCCAAGGUGGACGGGACGGACGGUGAAAGCUCGUGGAGCACUGUGAGUCUGUGUGGCAGCGUCCACGAUGAAGAUGACACAGACUCGGUGGUGGAGAGCAGCAACAGCCACCAGGACGAGGAGGCUGCAGAAUCUUGCUUUGGGAGGAAAGGAUCUUGCUUCAGGAGCCUGAGGAUAAGUUUGUCCUCUGCGAGCUUGGCUAGACUAAUCCCCUGGUGGCCGCACAACAGGGUGCACCCAGCCACUGAGCCAGAUGAAGGUACUGUGGAACCUGACUCAGUACACUCAGGCAUGAACGAUGAUUCUGGUUCAUUCAGUGCUCCAGAUUUCAGAACAAACUCUACAGGUGCUAAGCCGUAUCUCUCUUCUAGUGCAUGGUGCAAAUUCAAAUGAACUAACUCGGAGUUCCGGUCGUGGCGCAGUGGUUAAAGACUCCGACUAGGAACCAUGAGGUUGCGAGUUGGAUCUCUGGCCUUGCUCAGUGGGUUAAGGAUCCGGGGUUGCCGUGAGCUGUGGUGUUGGCCACAGAUGCGGUUCGAAUCCCGAGUUGCAGUGGCUGUGGCGUAGGCCAGUGGCUACAACUCUGAUUAGACCCCUCUCCUGGGCGCCUGCGCAUGCCAAGGGAAGCGGGCCUAGAAAAGGCAAAAUGACCAAAACCCAACCAACCAACCAAAACCCAAAUUGAAUCACUCCCUGGGCACUUUCACAACCAUGAAAAUAAUGGUUCGUUUAAACUCAACAUUUGGUUCCUGGUUAAUAGCAGAGAUGCCCUCACUCAUGUUUUGACAUUUGCAAAUAGUUGAUAUUUGGGCUAGUUGUGCUGGAUCCCUCCACGGAACCACAUUUCCCAACUUGAAAACAAUACUAGACGCGAUUUAGAACAAGGUCAUAUGAACAAGACAUGGUGAACAGCUAUCACAGAGAGCUACUGUAAGCCAUUCCUCCAAUGUCCACCAUUGACAACGUCCAGCACGGAAUGGGGAACAUGUGGUGCCCUGAGCGGCAAAAGAGUCAUACCAUUUUAGUCAGUGAGAAGUUCCCCGUUUACAUUCAGAUUCAUUUUUUGUGCUGUGACGUGAGUUGAGGUUGGACACCUGCACAAUGUUAGGAGUCCCUGGUAUGUUAUUACCAUAGAGGACGUGUACACUGCCGUUUGUAGCAGCGGGUUAUUCCCAAUAGCCAAAAGGUGAAACCACUCCCAAAAGACAAGAAGAGAUCAGGGGACAGAUCCAAUGUGCCGUGUACCCAGAAGAGAACAGUAUUCUGCCAGAAACAAAAUUAAACUUUUAAAUAGGUGACCACAUGGUUGAUUCCAAAGAAAACACAGUUUUUAACAUUGAGUGAGGAGUUCCCGUGGUGGCAUGGCAGAAGUGACUCCGACUAGGAAGCCUGA